rnacentral:rRNA from 1 species
GGGUCAAUUAAAUGGUCGUGCCUCUGGUACGUACUGAUUUUAUUGGUUUCUCCCUUCUGACGAACCAUGAUGUCAUUAAUUUGGUGUCGUGGAGAAUCAGGACUGUUACUUUGAGAAAAUUAGAGUGUUUAAAGCAGGCUCACGCUUGAAUACAUUAGCAUGGAAUAAUGAAAUAGGACGUUUGAUUCUAUUUUGUUGGUUUCUAGGAUCGACGUA